rnacentral:rRNA from 1 species
UGGGGAAUAUUGGACAAUGGGCGCAAGCCUGAUCCAGCCAUGCCGCGUGAGUGAUGAAGGCCCUAGGGUUGUAAAGCUCUUUCACCGGUGAAGAUAAUGACGGUAACCGGAGAAGAAGCCCCGGCUAACUUCGUGCCAGCAGCCGCGGUAAUACGAAGGGGGCUAGCGUUGUUCGGAUUUACUGGGCGUAAAGCGCACGUAGGCGGACUUUUAAGUCAGGGGUGAAAUCCCGGGGCUCAACCCCGGAACUGCCUUUGAGACUGGAAGUCUUGAGUAUGGUAGAGGUGAGUGGAAUUCCGAGUGUAGAGGUGAAAUUCGUAGAUAUUCGGAGGAACACCAGUGGCGAAGGCGGCUCACUGGACCAUUACUGACGCUGAGGUGCGAAAGCGUGGGGAGCAAACAGG